rnacentral:lncRNA from 1 species
AAUCGAGAAUCCCUGACGGAUGACAGAUAUAGAGCACAGUCUUGUCAAGAUGCAGUUACUUGCCAAAUCCCUAAUUUUUGCCUAGAUUGCCCCAGUGUGAGGUGCUCAAUCUAGCGGGAUGCAAAUUCUUUUUUUUUUUUCAAUGUCUCUAACUUUUGCCUGGAUCGCCCUUUCGGGUUUUCAAUCCACCGAGACGCUCCUUUUUGCCUAAGUCGCCCU